rnacentral:rRNA from 1 species
CUACGGAGGGUGCAAGCGUUAUUCGGAAUCACUGGGCGUAAAGGGUGCGUAGGCGGUUUGAUAAGUCUGAUGUGAAAUCCUAUGGCUUAACCAUAGAACUGCAUUGGAAACUGUCAGACUAGAAUACUGAAGGGGCAGAUGGAAUUAGUGGUGUAGGGGUAAAAUCCGUAGAUAUCACUAGGAAUACCGAAAGCGAAAGCGAUCUGCUGGGAAGUUAUUGACGCUGAGGCACGAAAGCGUGGGGAGCAAACGGGAUUAGAAACCCCAGUAGUCC